rnacentral:rRNA from 2 species
UCAAAACGACUCUCGGCAACGGAUAUCUUGGUUCUCGCAUCGAUGAAGAACGUAGCGAAAUGCGAUACUUGGUGUGAAUUGCAGAAUCCCGUGAACCAUCGAGUCUUUGAACGCAAGUUGCGCCCGACGCCUUCGGGCUGAGGGCACGCCUGCCUGGGCGUCA